UACGUAGGGUGCAAGCGUUGUCCGGAAUUAUUGGGCGUAAAGAGCUCGUAGGCGGUUUGUCGCGUCUGCUGUGAAAAUCCGGGGCUUAACCCUGGACCUGCAGUGGGUACGGGCAGACUGGAGUGCGGUAGGGGAGAUCGGAAUUCCUGGUGUAGCGGUGAAAUGCGCAGAUAUCAGGAGGAACACCGGUGGCGAAGGCGGAUCUCUGGGCCGUAACUGACGCUGAGGAGCGAAAGCAUGGGGAGCGAACAGG
rnacentral:rRNA from 1 species